GUGAACGCUGGCGGUAGGCCUAACACAUGCAAGUCGCACGGCAGCACAGUAAGAGCUUGCUCUUACGGGUGGCGAGUGGCGGACGGGUGAGGAAUACAUCGGAAUCUACUUUUUCGUGGGGGAUAACGUAGGGAAACUUACGCUAAUACCGCAUACGACCUACGGGUGAAAGCAGGGGAUCUUCGGACCUUGCGCGAUUGAAUGAGCCGAUGUCGGAUUAGCUAGUUGGCGGGGUAAAGGCCCACCAAGGCGACGAUCCGUAGCUGGUCUGAGAGGAUGAUCAGCCACACUGGAACUGAGACACGGUCCAGACGCCUACGGGAGGCAGCAGUGGGGAAUAUUGGACAAUGGGCGCAAGCCUGAUCCAGCCAUACCGCGUGGGUGAAGAAGGCCUUCGGGUUGUAAAGCCCUUUUGUUGGGAAAGAAAAGCAGCAGGUUAAUACCCCGCUGUUCUGACGGUACCCAAAGAAUAAGCACCGGCUAACUUCGU
rnacentral:rRNA from 1 species